GCUCCAGUGGCGAAAUGGUAGACGCAGUUGACUCAAAAUCAACCGACGCAGGUCAUGCUGGUUCAAGUCCAGUCUGGAGUACCA
rnacentral:tRNA from 1 species